rnacentral:lncRNA from 1 species
GAGAGGACUGAGAAAAGAAUAUAAAUUAAAGAAAAAACUUUAAAUACCAUCAUGUAGUUUCGCACUUUCACACUUUAGUACUCUGUGGUUUAAAGUUUAUCUUUUGCAUCCUAUAUUUUUAUUUUUCUCUUUCUGCUAUUUCCUUCACUAAUUUAUUUCGUUAAAUCAGUGACAAAGUUAAAAUUAAAGAAUGCUAAAAUGAAUAUUUGAUAAACUAUAGGUGGGAUAUCUGAAGUUUUUUGUAUAUGAUUUAACGAAAAAUUAGUGUAGGGGCUGACAAAAAGAGAAAAAUAAAACCAUAUGGUACUAAAUUGAUACACUUUAAACCAUAAGGUACUAAAGUAAGAAAGUGUGAAAUCAUAUAAGUGGUAUUUAAAGUUUAUCCUAAAUUAAAAAAGACUUACUU